AUGAAAUACUUGUCAAUGAGGAACUUUUUCUGCUGCAACAAUCUAAUGAGAGAUGGUUGCUUGGGGGGGGGGAUCGAAACACCGCUUAUUACCAAAAAAAUAGCCAAUGGCAAUAAGCGGAAGAAUACAAUACACUCUCUUAAUGUUGGGAGUACGGUGAUUGAGGGGACCGAGAAGCUCCUGGAGCCUGCUACUGACUUUUAUAAAAACCUUUUUGGGCCAGCCCAGGGAAACAUGUUUCAUCUUGACCCUGGUGUCUGGGGGGAAGAUGAGAAACUCGAUGAGCUGGAUAAUGAGAUCCUUAAUAGACCUUUCACGGAGGAAGAAGUGAAGAAGGCUUUAUUCUCCAUGAAAAGCAACAGGGCCCCCGGCCCGGAUAAUAUUCCUGCUGAGUUUUAUCAGCAUUGCUGGGAUAUAGUGAAAGAGGAUAUUAUGAGAUUGUUUACUGCUUUUCAUGUAGGAAAUCUUGAUGUUAGUAGAUUGAAUUAUGGCAUUAUAACUUUAUUGCCUAAAAUCAAUGGGGCCAAUAAGAUCCAGCAGUUUAGGCCAAUUUGCUUGCUUAGAUGUCCCUACAAACUGAUCACUAAGGUGCUUGAUAACAGAGUGGCCCCCUUUGCUGACAAAUUGUUUAGUAGGCACCAGAAUGCUUUCAUUAAGCAUAGAAAUAUCAUGGGUGGAGUAUUGUCUUUUCAUGAGAUUUUGCAUCAUACUUCCAUCAAAAAAAGGGUGGGUAUUAUUAUUAAGCUCGACUUCGAGAAAGCAUAUGACAAGGUGAACUGGGACUUCUUGUUGGAAUGUCUCGAGAUGAGAGGGUUUGGUACCACUUGGUGUAAGUGGGUUAAAAGUAUCUUGGUUGAUGGCACAGUCAGUGUAAAGUUGAACAAUACCAUGGGGCCGUAUUUCAAAAGCUUUAAAGGGGUCAGGCAGGGGGAUCCUGUGUCGUCGUUCCUUUUUAACAUAGCAGUCGAGUGUCUGUGUAAAAUGGUGCUACAGGCUCAGAAAAAUAACUUGAUUGUUGGGCUUGCACCGGACCUUAUUGAAAAUGGAGUGGCCAUUCUGCAAUAUGCAGAUGAUACGGUCUUGUGCAUAGACCAUGAUCUGGAUAAGGCUGUGAACAUGAAACUGUUAUUGUACAUCUUUGAGCUCAUGUCUGGGCUCAAAAUCAAUUUUCAAAAAGGUGAAAUCCUGUGUGUAGGGGGAUGA
rnacentral:rRNA from 1 species